CGUAGGUGGCAAGCGUUGUCCGGAUUUACUGGGCGUAAAGCGUAUGUAGGUCGGAUUUUUAAGUAGGAAGUGAAAGGUUCGAGCUCAACUCGGACACUGCUCCCUAUACUGGAAGUCUUGAAGGCCGGAGAGGAAAGCGGAACGACACGUGUAGCGGUGAAAUGCGUUGAUAUGUGUCGGAACACCAAUGGCGAAGGCAGCUUUCUGGACGGUGAGUUUACUCUUAAAUUUGACGCUGAGAUACGAAAGCCGAGGUAGCGAACAGGAUUAGAUACCCUGGUAGUCUCGGCCCUAAACGAUGUUCACUAGGUGUCGGGGGGGUAACCCUCGGUGCCGCAGCUAACGCAUUAAGUGAACCGCCUGGGGACUACGGCCGCAAGGUUG
rnacentral:rRNA from 1 species